CCCCUUAAAAACCCCUCCCAAUAAAGGGCCCCCCCCCCGGAUUUUCGGCCGGGUAUAACCGGGGGGGGGGAAAACUUUUUAAGGAAUGAAGCCCCCGGGGCCCGUUCCUUUUUUACCAUGGAACUUAUCUCCCGGAGAGCGGGAAACCUAUAAGACGAGAGGACCUAUGAGCCUUAACAACUGAACAAUUGCUUUUUCUUUAACAUCUCCUGCGCUCUUUACUUUAUCUAAGCAUUUUUAUUUCUAGUUUUAGGUUGGGGUGACCACGGAGCAAAAUUUAACCUCCAUGAAGAAAUGAAUAUUUUAAGCCACAAACUACUUUUUUAAGCAUCAACAAAUUGACCUUUAUUGACCCAAUAUAUUGAUCAACGAACCAAGUUACCCUAGGGAUAACAGCGCAAUCUACUUCAAGAGCUCAUAUCGGACAAGUAGGUUUACGACCUCGAUGUUGGAUCAGGGUAUCCUAGUGGUGCAGCCGCUACUAAUGGUUCGUUUGUUCAACGAAUCGCU
rnacentral:rRNA from 1 species